rnacentral:rRNA from 1 species
GUAGUCUCGCACAGAUGCAUAUCAAUAAGCGGAGGAAAAGAAACUAACAAGGAUUCCCCUAGUAACGGCGAGUGAAGCGGGAAGAGCUCAAAUUUGAAAUCUUAAAGGGUUUCCCUUUACGAAUUGUAGCUUAAGGAAGUGUUUUCUGUUGAGGUUUUGGUAAAAGUUCUUUGGAAUAGGACAUCAUAGAGGGUGAGAAUCCCGUAUUUGACCUUUACUUUCAACUCUGUGAUACACUUUCAAAGAGUCGGAUUGUUUGGGAAUGCAGUCCGAAAUGGGUGGUAAAUUUCAUCUAAAGCUAAAUAUUGGCGAGAGACCGAUAGCGAACAAGUACCGUGAGGGAAAGAUGAAAAGAACUUCGAAAAGAGAGUUAAACAGUACGUGAAAUUGUCAAAAGGGAAGCGUUUGACACCAUGUGUUGUUUUUCUGAAAAUCAAUUAAAGAACUGUUUAUGCUAAGUUGUUUAGACUUUAUCAGCUAACUGUUUAGUUUUGAGCUUUUCUUUAAUGCACUUUUCAGUUAACAAGUCAACAUCAAUUUCUUUUGCUGUAAAAAAGCUUGAGGAAGGUGGCUUGAGAUUCGUCUUAAGUGUUUAUAGCCUCUUGCCUAUGCAGUCGGAGAGAUUGAGGUCUGCAGCGUAGAUCCUUCGGGGCUAAAUGCAUUUGUGCUAAGUUAUAGCAUUUUAUAGACAACUUGUUGACUAUGAUUUGUCUUGUAGCUUACUCGCUUAUGUUAUUUUACCUACGCUUAGGAUGUUGAAGACUCUACAGAGAUA